rnacentral:rRNA from 1 species
UACGGAGGGGGCAAGCAUUAAUCGGAUUUAUUGGGCGUAAAGGGCGCGUAGGCGGGUUUGUAAGUCAGAUGUGAAAUUCCGAAGCUCAACUUCGGAGCUGCAUUUGAAACUACAAGUCUAGAGGAGUGGCGGAGAAAAUGGAAUUCCACGUGUAGCGGUGAAAUGCGUAGAUAUGUGGAAGAACACCAGUGGCGAAAGCGGUUUUCUAGCUUAUUCCUGACGCUGAGGCGCGAGAGCAAGGGGAGCAAACAGG